AAGCUUGUGCGACCGGGACCUGCUAAUCCUACUAGAAGGGGUUGCCCACGGUACUGCGAGUCGUGCAUGAAGGUGAGGCGACAGCCAGUCAAGCAAACAAGCACAACGUCCACACCCUCCACCACAGCUACGAGGACGUUUUCUCGGAAAGCCUGGGGUUGACCAAGGGACCUCUAGCUAGUAUCUUGCUGAAGGACGCCGCUCUCCCCAGAUUCUAACACCUUUAAACUCAAGCUAAGCAGGCACGAGUUGUGUGGGAAAAGUGCCAACAAGAGUACCUACCGCCAGGCUGCCCUGCUCCUUGGCUAUUCACCACUUCCGUAGGCACCGGACCCGGUCUUCACCUGACCUAUACUAAACCUGGAUCGACGCGUGUACUGCAUGCAACAGCCCCAGCUACCGGAUCAUUCGUGCGGUAAUCAAUUCCGUGGCUGGCAGCCGCAGUCAUUCCCCACCAGCGGUACCGGUAUCAGCACCGGCCUCGCCGGAUAUAAGCUGCUGCCCGUGAACGCCCCUCUGGGUCACGACACCGCUUUGGCAAUGGAGCGCUUGCCCUUCCCACUGUUCCAGACUACCCGGCUCCUUGGCUAUUCGCCACCUCCGUGGGCAUCGGAGACAGUCUCUAUCUGCCGUGUGCUAAAUGCGGAUCUACCCGCCCUUACGAAAAUAACUGCAGACUUGCUGCAGAAGUUUUGCAGACCACGAGCCACCCGGGAUGCAAAAUAUCUGAAGACAGGGGAAAGACUUUCUGUCCCCACCUGUCACCUCCCAGAGGGCUGUUGGUACACCAUUUCUGCAGAAAUUCUGCUCAGUCUGUGUAGCGGCAGGAUGCAGCAUUUCUACAGAAAGUCUGUCGAGAUUGUGGUCACAGGAUGCAGCAUUUAGGUAGACAUUAGAGAGAAUUUGUGUAGCCCACCUACCGGGAACUGGCAUGGACUCAUGCAA